rnacentral:rRNA from 1 species
GACGAACGCUGGCGGCGUGCUUAACACAUGCAAGUCGAACGGAAAGGCCCUGCUUUUGUGGGGUGCUCGAGUGGCGAACGGGUGAGUAACACGUGAGUAACCUGCCCUUGACUUUGGGAUAACUUCAGGAAACUGGGGCUAAUACCGGAUAGGAGCUCCUGCUGCAUGGUGGGGGUUGGAAAGUUUCGGCGGUUGGGGAUGGACUCGCGGCUUAUCAGCUUGUUGGUGGGGUAGUGGCUUACCAAGGCUUUGACGGGUAGCCGGCCUGGGAGGGUGACCGGCCACAUUGGGACUGAGAUACGGCCCAGAGUGCUACGGGAGGCAGCAGUGGGGAAUAUUGCACAAUGGGCGGAAGCCUGAUGCAGCAACGCCGCGUGCGGGAUGACGGCCUUCGGGUUGUAAACCGCUUUCGCCUGUGACGAAGCGUGAGUGACGGUAAUGGGUAAAGAAGCACCGGCUAACUACGUG